GAAAUGCGAUAAGUAGUGUGAAUUGCAGAAUUUAGUGAAUUAUUGAAUCUUUGAACGCACAUUGCGCCCCUUGGUAUUCCAUAGGGCAUGCCUGUUUGAGCGUUAUUUGUACCUUUAAGCUCUGCUUGGUGUUGGGUGUUUGUCUAUUCCUAUGCCUCUGGACUUACCUUAAAGCAAUUGGCAGCCAGUGUUUUGGUAUAGAAGCGCAGCACAUUGUGCAAUUCUGGCCUCAAACACUAGCUUUCAGUAAGCUCUUUUGCUUUUGACCUUGGAUCAGGUAGGGAUACCUGCUGAACUUAA
rnacentral:misc_RNA from 1 species